rnacentral:rRNA from 1 species
GACGAACGCUGGCGGCGUGCUUAACACAUGCAAGUCGAGCGGAAAGGCCCUUCGGGGUACUCGAGCGGCGAACGGGGGAGUAACACGUGAGUAACCUGCCCUAGGCUUUGGGAUAACCCCGGGAAACCGGGGCUAAUACCGGAUAUGACCUGGUGCCGCAUGGUGUUGGGAGGAAAGUUUUUUCGGCAUGGGAUGGGCUCGCGGCCUAUCAGCUUGGUGGUGGGGGGAGGGCGUACCAAGGCGAUGACGGGUAGCCGGCCUGAGAGGGCGACCGGCCACACUGGGACUGAGACACGGCCCAGACUCCUACGGGAGGCAGCAGUGGGGAAUAUUGCACAAUGGGCGGACGCCUGAUGCAGCGACGCCGUGUGAGUGAUGAAGGCCUUCGGGUUGUAAACCUCUUUCAGCAGGGACGAAGCGUGAGUGACGGUACCUGCAGAAGAAGCGCCGGCCAACUACGUG